UACGAAGGGGGCUAGCGUUGCUCGGAAUCACUGGGCGUAAAGCGCACGUAGGCGGCUUACUAAGUCAGGGGUGAAAUCCUGGAGCUCAACUCCAGAACUGCCUUUGAUACUGGUAGCUCGAGUCCGGGAGAGGUGAGUGGAACUGCGAGUGUAGAGGUGAAAUUCGUAGAUAUUCGCAAGAACACCAGUGGCGAAGGCGGCUCACUGGCCCGGUACUGACGCUGAGGUGCGAAAGCG
rnacentral:rRNA from 1 species